rnacentral:lncRNA from 10 species
ACCUUUGGUUACCUGAAUGAACAGUUUUGGCCAGAAAUGGUGAGAAGAAAAAGCAUGAAGAAGCCGCGAAGUGUGGGGGAGAAAAAGGUGGAAGCGAAGAAACAGCUCCCGGAGCAAACUGUACAAAAACCUCGCCAAGAGUGUCGGGAGGCAGGACCGUUAUUCCUGCAGAGCAGGAGAGAGACGAGAGACCCUGAAACACGCGCCACCUAUCUUUGUGGGGAGGGAUAAUUGAAGCGCCCUGAGCGUGAGCAUCAUGUGAAAACGUGAUCGCCAAGUUUCUCUCUGGGAAAGGAUCUGGGAUAGAUUAUACCUUGAAGUCUCCGCAAACGCUUUAGUGGAAGAAAUGAAAUUCCACCUCCCUCCCUUCCUCCUCUCCCUCCCUUUCGCCUUCGCCUCCCUCCCCCCUCCCUCCCUUCUCCCCCCCUCCACCCCCCCCUCCCCGCCCGUCAAGCCUUUGGCAUCAUUAUCCUCAUCACUAAAUCCUACAGAGUACAGGGCGGAAAACGGUGCACACCAUUCACAGAACUG